rnacentral:rRNA from 2 species
AGCGGACAGAAGGGAGCUUGCUCCCGGAUGUUAGCGGCGGACGGGUGAGUAACACGUGGGUAACCUGCCUGUAAGACUGGGAUAACUCCGGGAAACCGGAGCUAAUACCGGAUAGUUCCUUGAACCGCAUGGUUCAAGGAUGAAAGACGGUUUCGGCUGUCACUUACAGAUGGACCCGCGGCGCAUUAGCUAGUUGGUGGGGUAAUGGCUCACCAAGGCGACGAUGCGUAGCCGACCUGAGAGGGUGAUCGGCCACACUGGGACUGAGACACGGCCCAGACUCCUACGGGAGGCAGCAGUAGGGAAUCUUCCGCAAUGGACGAAAGUCUGACGGAGCAACGCCGCGUGAGUGAUGAAGGUUUUCGGAUCGUAAAGCUCUGUUGUUAGGGAAGAACAAGUGCGAGAGUAACUGCUCGCACCUUGACGGUACCUAACCAGAAAGCCACGGCUAACUACGUGCCAGCAGCCGCGGUAAUACGUAGGUGGCAAGCGUUGUCCGGAAUUAUUGGGCGUAAAGGGCUCGCAGGCGGUUUCUUAAGUCUGAUGUGAAAGCCCCCGGCUCAACCGGGGAGGGUCAUUGGAAACUGGGAAACUUGAGUGCAGAAGAGGAGAGUGGAAUUCCACGUGUAGCGGUGAAAUGCGUAGAGAUGUGGAGGAACACCAGUGGCGAAGGCGACUCUCUGGUCUGUAACUGACGCUGAGGAGCGAAAGCGUGGGGAG